ACAGAGCGUAAGAAGGGGAACGACAGGAAAUGAAACAGCGAAGUACCAGAAGGAAGAGAAAGUAAUGCGAGUCCUGAGGUAGCGGCGAGAGAACGCGGAGUAGCCCAAACCAAUACAGUUUUCUUUAUGGGGGUUGCGGACAUAUCAUAACGAAGAGGUAUCGUAAUGGAAGAGGUUUGGAAAGACCCACCACAGAAGGUAAUAGUCCUGUAUGUUAAACGGGAAGACUUCAGAUAUGAUCCAGAGUACCACGGGACACGUGAAACCCUGUGGGAAGCAGGAGGGACCACCCUCCAAGGCUAAAUACUACCUAGUGACCGAUAGCGUAUAGUACCGUGCGGGAACGGUGAAAAGAACCCCGGGAGGGGGGAGAAAUAGAACCUGAAACCCUGNACUUACACGCUGUGGAAGCACCUUUCUUGUGUGACCGAGUACUGUUUGUAGAACGGGCCAACGGGGUACGUUAAGUAGCAA
rnacentral:rRNA from 1 species